rnacentral:tRNA from 1 species
CGGAGUGUAGCUCAGCCUGGUAGAGCGCCAGCUUUGGGAGCUGGAUGUCGCGAGUUCAAAUCCCGCCACUCCGACCA